CGCCUCCUGACAAUAAUAGGAGGUCCAGCCUGCCCAGUGACACUAGUUCAACGGCCGCGGUAUCCUGACCGUGCGAAGGUAGCGUAAUCACUUGUCUUUUAAAUUAAGACUGGUAUGAAAGGCACCACGAGAAUUAAGCUGUCUCCUUUUUCUAAUCUGUAAAACUAAUCUCCCCGUGAAGAAGCGGGGAUUUUUAUAUAAGACGAGAAGACCCUAUGGAGCUUCAGACAAAUAACACUGCUUUUCCCCUUUCUCUUAGAGAACACUUACUACAGCAUCUCAAUUAUUUAGUCUUUGGUUGGGGCGACCAUGGGGUAAAAAUUACCCCCCAUGAUGAAAGAACCUCCUAGAUAUGAGCCACAGCUCUAUAAAUCAAUAAAUUGACAUAUUUGACCCAAUUACUUGAUCAACGAAACAAGUUACCCUAGGGAUAACAGCGCAAUCCACUUCAAGAGCCCUUAUCAACAAGUGGGUUUACGACCUCGAUGUUGGAUCAGGGUAUCCCAGUGGUGCAACCGCUACAAAGGGUUUGUUUGUUCAACAAUUAAAACCCU
rnacentral:rRNA from 1 species